ACAACAUUCGGACCGUCAGUCUACCGAGCAAAUAUCACCCGCUCGGUGGAAGAUCUUUCCGCCGUCGU
rnacentral:pre_miRNA from 1 species